UGCAAGUCGAACGGCAGCACAGGAUAGCUUGCUAUCCGGGUGGCGAGUGGCGGACGGGUGAGUAACGCGUAGGAAUCUACCUUUUCGUGGGGGAUAACCCGGGGAAACUCGGGCUAAUACCGCAUACGCCCUACGGGGGAAAGCGGGGGACCUUCGGGCCUCGCGCGGAAUGAUGAGCCUGCGUCCUAUCAGGUAGUUGGUGAGGUAAUGGCUCACCAAGCCGACGACGGGUAGCUGGUCUGAGAGGACGACCAGCCACACUGGGACUGAGACACGGCCCAGACUCCUACGGGAGGCAGCAGUGGGGAAUAUUGGACAAUGGGGGAAACCCUGAUCCAGCAAUACCGCGUGGGUGAAGAAGGCCUUCGGGUUGUAAAGCACUUUUAGCAGGAAAGAAAGGCCGUGCGCUAAUACCGCAUGGG
rnacentral:rRNA from 1 species